UAGUCGCGCAUGCGCCAGGAGCCCCGCGCGGCCUUGCGGGUGUUGAACUCUAGACUCUGUUUCCCAGGGUACCUGCCGUGGCCUGGCCUGCUGCGCAACUGUGGUGUGCCGCGUGCGGCCUUGUGGGAGUUGUAGCCCGGACUACACUUCCCAUUGUGCCCCGGGAGACUCAGUUUCGGAUGGCUGCUGGUUCGAGGCCGAUUUGAUUUAGCGGAGAAAUGGAGGGUGGCUUCAGUUCGGAUUCUGUGGGCUCCGGCGGUGGAAAAUUGGACCCAGGGCUCAUCAUGGAACAAGUGAAAGUGCAAAUUGCCGUGGCCAACGCUCAGGAGCUACUGCAGGUUUCGCGUGUGUCCACAGAGGAUGACCGACAAGUGUUUCCGGAAGUGCAUUGGGAAGCCAGGGGGAUCCCUGGACAAUUCGGAACAGAAAUGCAUCGCCAUGUGUAUGGACCGCUACAUGGAUGCCUGGAACACAGUUUCCCGCGCCUAUAAUUCACGACUGCAGCGGGAACGAGCCAACAUGUAACCGAGAAGCGCUGCAGUAGCCCUGGAGCUCACCCCUGGCUACCCCGCCUCAGUUUCCAUCUCUGUAAACGUGCUUUGUGAGGUGGAACUAGCACGGUCACCCUGCCUGCUCAUGGUGUACAAGGAUGACACGAUGGUGAGGGGACAUUUGGAACUGUGUUCUCUGCCAACCAGUGCAACGUGGGUUUGGGGAACCUGUGCUUUCAUGACAGCUCAGUGGACGUCCUGCGGCCUGGGAGUCGCUGACCCCUCCCCUAGUAUGCCCAGGUCAGCUUCCUGCCCUGGGCUGAGAACAUUUGCUUUGACCUUCUUGGGGUGGAGGUGGUGAGUCCCCAGGGCAGCUGUGACCUCCUGAGGGUGGACCAAUAAAUUGCUGACAGGGGCAAAGAAACCCCGUGCAUUUUCCCUCGUUGGGGGAGGUGUUCGGAA